ACUGUCUGCUAUAACAAUGUUUUCUUUUAUUAUUAUUAUUAUUAUUGUAUGUAUGCCUAUCUUAGAUAGCACCAGUAGAGAUAUGACAGGAAAUGAGGGAGAGUAAUGCAACAAAGGCUGCAGCCUUUAGUCGGCGUCCCAAUCCCUAAGCCCCGGGGGCCCCCCGUUACGACGGUUUCACAGCAGGUAAAGCACAGGAGGCCGCAGACACAAAAUGUUCUCAAAGUGUGCCAGUCAGAUUCAGAUAAGCAUCAUCACACUGAAUGUGCUCCAGAAUGGAUUUAAUAUUGCUGCCUGUUCAGGGACCUCGGGCACAUUUUGUCCGAAAGCAACGGUGGACGGAUGUAUCACUGCUGAACUGUCAUGCAGGCCGACGUCCCAGCAACUAUAGAGUUUAUUGCUAAAGGAUUAUUGAACCAAUAAUGCUGCAGUUAUCAAUCAAAAAUAAACCUGCUCUAUGCUUUUAUAACAGAAUUAUUUGUCUUUUUAUAUUCUGAUUUAAAGAACACUGCUAUAGGCUAUUCUCUUCCUAUCUUGACCCCCCAACAAGUCAUUUUUUUAAAUGAAUACAGCCCAAUAUCACAAAUUUGCCUCAAGGGGCUUUACAAUCUGUACAGCAUAUGGCACCCUCCAUCCUUAGACCCUCAUUAGGAUAAGGAACCCCACCAACCCCACCAGCAUAAUUAUAAACUCCACAUUUUUUAUGAACUUUAUCAUUCUCCUAACAGUAUACUAAUUGUGAUGAUUAAUAACAUAAAGUUGGGCGUAUCCCACUGGCAGGAUUCAGGUUAUGAUGUUUAUGAGGAGAUUAUGCCUGUUAAUUGUAUCAAUAAGACUUGAUAAGAAAAAGCAACCAACCACAACUGAGGUGACCGAGCAGAGUGAGCCCACUGACUGUUAUCUCCAAACCAAAAUAUCACCGCCUCUACAGUCAGUAACAUUUGGCGAGUAAUAGAUUACUUUUUGUGUAAAGACUCUCUGCUCUUUUGGUGCGACCGGUGCGUGGCAGUUAUGCAACACUGUGGGCUGGGUUUCAUAUCUGAGCUGCAGAUAACGUUUUACUAUGCACUGCUUUAUAAUGCGGCGUGUCGUGGGACACGUACGCAUCACACCGCCGCAACCUCUCUGUGUCUUUUAUUCCCGCCCGUUCCCAUUCAUCAGUAUACAGCUCUAUUUAACACCCACAUCCAAAACCUGGUGACGCAAGGACAGGCAGAUCAGCAGCAGCAGCAAACAUGCAAACAUACAGCCUCCCCUCACCUCCUCUUGUUGGCUGAGCGAAUUCGCAGUUCCUGCAGGCGAUCUCUGCCAUCCGAAACCUGGCUGUGUGUGGAGAGGGGAGGUGAGGAGGCUGAAG